rnacentral:rRNA from 1 species
UACGGAGGAUGCAAGCGUUAUCCGGAAUGAUUGGGCGUAAAGCGUCCGCAGGUGGCUAUGUAAGUCUGCUGUUAAAGAGUCUAGCUCAACUAGAUAAGAGCAGUGGAAACUACAAGGCUAGAGUACGUUAGGGGCAGAGGGAAUUCCUGGUGUAGCGGUGAAAUGCGUAGAGAUGCGGAGGAACACCGAUGGCGAAGGCAGCCCCCUGGGCCAAUACUGACGCUCAGGCACGAAAGCGUGGGGAGCAAACAGG